rnacentral:tRNA from 1 species
GGGUGCUUAGCUCAGGGGGAGAGCGCUUCCCUGACACGGAAGAGGUCAGAGGUUCAAAUCCUCUAGCACCCA